GAUGAACGCUGGCGGCGUGCCUAAUACAUGCAAGUCGAGCGAACAGACGAGGAGCUUGCUCCUCUGACGUUAGCGGCGGACGGGUGAGUAACACGUGGAUAACCUACCUAUAAGACUGGGAUAACUUCGGGAAACCGGAGCUAAUACCGGAUAAUAUAUUGAACCGCAUGGUUCAAUAGUGAAAGACGGUUUUGCUGUCACUUAUAGAUGGUUCCGCGCCGCAUUAGCUAGUUGGUAAGGUAACGGCUUACCAAGGCAACGAUGCGUAGACGACCGGAGAGAGUGAUAGGCCGCACUAGAGCGUGAACGGGGACAAGACUACUACGGGAGGGAGCAGUAGGGUAUCUUACGCAGUAGGCGAGAGCCUGACGGAGCAGCGCCGCGUGAGUGACGAAGGUCUUCGGAUCGUAAAACUCUGUUAUUAGGGAAGAACCAAUGUGUAAGUAACUAAGCACGUCGUGACGGUAACUGAUCAGAAAGCAACGGCUAACUACGUG
rnacentral:rRNA from 1 species